rnacentral:rRNA from 1 species
UACGAAGGGGGCUAGCGUUGCUCGGAAUUACUGGGCGUAAAGGGAGCGUAGGCGGAUAGUUAAGUCAGAGGUGAAAGCCCAGGGCUCAACCUUGGAAUUGCCUUUGAUACUGGCUAUCUUGAGUAUGGGAGAGGUAAGCGGAACUCCGAGUGUAGAGGUGAAAUUCGUAGAUAUUCGGAAGAACACCAGUGGCGAAGGCGGCUUACUGGCCCAUUACUGACGCUGAGGCUCGAAAGCGUGGGGAGCAACAGG